rnacentral:misc_RNA from 1 species
AGAAGUAGUUAGUCUAACCUCCNUGAGGACGAUUACCACUUUGUGUUUCAUGACUGGGGUGAAGUCGUAACAAGGUAACCCUAGGGGAACCUGGGGUUGGAUCACCUCCUUACAGAUAGGCUUGGCCUCUUUUGGCUGAGUGUUCACACAGAUUGUUUCGUUAGCAGAGUUUAUCUCUGUGAACAAACUAUGUUCUUUAACAAUUUGGAAAGCUGAUAUUAGUAAUCAAAACUGAGAGAGUAAUCUUGCGAACAUGCUUAUUGCAUAUUCAAAGAGUCUUACUCUAUCUGACAAAAGAUUAGUAGCUUGUCAUGCAUACAACGGCCGUUAGCGAUAACGGUAACCUGGGCAGAGGUGGUUAAGGUCAUCGAAAGCGCUGCAUUAGCGGCGGUACAAAAGGCUGUUUGGGGUUGUAUGGUUAAGUGACGAAGCGUAUACGGUGGAUACCUUGGCA